rnacentral:misc_RNA from 1 species
CAUUUUAAAUUUGAAGACUAUCGAUCUAGGUUAUCAAGCAAAGAAGCUCCAAAUAUUUCCAGAAAUUGGCUAAAUAUCCAAUUUAGACGUGACAGGUAUAAUAAAGAUACAAUGAAAAUAUUCCUAUCAUGCUAUAUACUCCAUAUAUCAAUGCAGUGUACAUAUUUCACAAUGGGCUACAUAUGUCUAUUGUCUGGGCAUAAACGAUUCGCAAAAAUUCUAAAAUCGCUAACAAUCCUUAAUUAUAGACCACUUGCUUCUGAAAUAAAUUUGAACUUUUGUUUUACCGCUAUAAUUUAAUGGGGGGAUUUUAAUCUGUUAAUCGGAAAAGAUAAGUUAAUUAGUUAUUCGAAAUCUCUCUCUUCCAUUUCCAUUACUAUUGCAACUACGUUCCAUUUCUAUUAAUUAAAUCAAUGAAAUAAUAAUAUCCUUUGGAAGGAUUAAAAAUUAGAACUAUCCUAAUUGUAAUUCAUGUAUUUUUAUUAAUUUUUAAUUUCAUAAUUGUACGUAAAAGGUUUUGGUUAAAGGGGUGACUCACCCGACAGGUUAAAAAAUUCAACGUUUAAAUAUUUCGCGCUUGCCAUUGAAUUCACCUUAACAAAAAGAUCAAUAAUAAAACAGUAAAGCAAUUUACGAUUACAUUAAACUAAUGUUAAUAACUCGGCGAUUUAUGAAAUAAAAUGACUAAACGUGAUGUUUGUGAAAUUACAUGAUACUGUGAUAAUGGUAGGAUGUAAUACUCAGUACUGUGUAACUUGAUGGUUAAAGAUAGCAAAAGAAAAGAUAUUUUCACAAGUUGUUGGAGCAUUAUAUUUGAAGCGGAGAUUGGCGAAAAUGUGAAGGAAGAGAGGACGAAGAAGAGUAGCGUAAAACUGCUAGCUUUCAAUUUAGAAGAACUAAACAAUGCAAUGGCGAGAAGCUUUGUCAAUGAACUCGAGACAUCCUUCACGACCUAGGGCUAGCCGUGUCAUCGACAGUGCCACCACCGCUUCUUCUGCGUUCCGCGCUAUUACUACGGCUAUUACUGCGGCUGGUGGAGCCGGAUCGCGUGCCAGAAGCUUUUUUGCCACCUUUGCUUGAACUUGACGAACUCGAAGGUUCCGCCUGUUGCGGAAGAGGAGUCGACUUUCCAGAACCAGGAGCGCUUCCCGAGGUCGGCUUCCUGAUCGUUCUCGAAUGUGAACCCCACGUUCCUAUCAUGAUUGAAAAAACAUAUUCGACAUGUAAAUAACAUCAGAGACAAACCAGCUAAGUAACUUAACCAACAUAUAUAAUUACACGAUAAAAUACAAUCUCACCUGCGCGUGGCCUAUGACCUUGAUCGUGAGAGGCAUGACCCACCGUAUCUGCAUCUUCUGUUACGAUUGUUGGCAAUGGUUGCGAUCCAAGUUCCUGUAAAAAUCAGUAUAACAGUCAUUAUAUAUGUACAUACGUACAUAGAUAUAUUAUAAACAAUGUUUAAUAUUGCAAUAUCGAGUAAUUUCAAUUACUUUUACGUUUUUAUUAAAUUCUCGAU